UACGGGGGGAGCAAGCGUUGUUCGGAUUUACUGGGCGUAAAGGGCGCGUAGGCGGCCACCGCAAGUCGGUUGUGAAAUCUCCGGGCUUAACCCGGAAAGGUCAAUCGAUACUGCGGGGCUAGAGUGCAGAAGGGGCAACUGGAAUUCUCGGUGUAGCAGUGAAAUGCGUAGAUAUCGAGAGGAACACCUGCGGCGAAGGCGGGUUGCUGGGCUGACACUGACACUGAAGUGCGAAAGCUAGGGGAGCGAAAGGG
rnacentral:rRNA from 1 species